rnacentral:rRNA from 1 species
CCAAUAGCGUAUAUUAAAGUUGUUGCAGUUAAAAAGCUCGUAGUUGAAUUUCGGGGUUCUACCGUUGGUCGGGCUUUGUCUGUACUGGCGUGUAGAAUUUCUACCUUCUGGGGAACCAUCAUGUUAUUAAUUUAACGUGGUGGGAAACCAGGACCUUUACCUUGAAAAAAUUAGAGUGUUCAAAGCAGGCUUAUGUCUGAAUACAUUAGCAUGGAAUAAUAAAAUAGGACGGUGGUCCUGUUUUGUUGGUUUCUGAAUCACCGUAAUGAUUAAUAGGGAUGGUUGGGGGCAUUAGUAUUCAAUUGUCAGAGGUGAAAUUCUUGGAUUUAUUGAAGACUAACGUCUGCGAAAGCAUUUGCCAAGGAUGUUUUCAUUAAUCAAGAACGAAAGUUAGGGGAUCGAAGACGAUCAGAUACCGUCGUAGUCUUAACCAUAAACUAUGCCGACUAGGGAUCGGACGAUGUUAAUUUUUCUUGACUCGUUCGGCGCCUUACG